GAUGAACGCUGGCGGCGUGCCUAACACAUGCAAGUCGAACGGGCUCGGAUUGAAACCUAGUGAUUUCCGAGUUAGUGGCGGACGGGUGAGUAACGCGUGGAUAACCUGCCGUAUGCAGGGGGAUAACAGUUGGAAACAGCUGCUAAUACCGCAUAAGCGCACAGUACCGCAUGGGACGGUGUGAAAAGAUUUAUCGGCAUACGAUGGAUCCGCGUCCGAUUAGCCAGUUGGCGGGGUAACGGCCCACCAAAGCGACGAUCGGUAGCCGGCCUGAGAGGGCGGACGGCCACAUUGGGACUGAGACACGGCCCAA
rnacentral:rRNA from 1 species